GUGUGUGUGUGUGUGUGUGUGUGUGUGUACAGAGAGAGCAUCCCAACCUGCUAAUUCUGUAAUGUCUUGUUCUUAGAGAAAUAAUCUUUUUUGUGGUAAAGAAACAUUUAUUUAAGUUUUGACAACUUCAGUUUAUUUUUGUUCUAUGAAAUAAGUAAAAUUUAAAUGUAAUGAUAUUUUUUCUUUUAAAGACUCCAGUACCCAUUUAGGAGGUUGCUCAUUAAGCAGUUCUGACGCUGACUUCCUCCCUGACAGCCGUCAAGGAUCAUAAAGUGUGCGAAUAAGGCAGAGCCUCGGUUAGAUUUGAAGCUCCAGCAGCCAGCAGCGUGCUUUGUCCAUAGUUGCUGCUUAAUAAAUGUGUGUUAAAUUGGAUCAUUUUGUUGCUAAUUAUGCAGAGUGUUGUACCAGAUAACAUACAACAAAAGCAGGGCCGACAGGCCUCUGGAAUCUUCACUCGUGGAGGUACAAGGUGUCCCAUUUUUAAGGACUAUAUCUUCCAUUUCUCUUUUGCACCCACAGUCCAACUCUGGGAGAUUAAUUCAGACAUAGCCGAAGGGGAGAGGGCACAGCUGUCCUCAGAUGGGCUGCCUGUACUGAAAGGGAGAUCGAGUCCUUCUUUCUGUCUGGAACGUGGUUAGUGCUCCCUGCUCUAAAGUCAUGUUCUCUGGCCCCACAGUAAUUUCCUUCCUGGACAGCAGAUUCUGCUGGUGAAAAGCCCCGGCUGAGAUCCACCGGCUCCUCGGGCUCAGCCCCUUCCCGGCAGAGGGCAUGCUGGCUGCUGACGAAUGGAGCCUGGUUCAGGAAUGAGCAGAUGCUGCUGCUGACAGGUGCUGCCAGGCGUGCUGGGACAUCCACUGAGCACCAUCGGCCUUGCACUUCCGCGGUCCUGCGGCCCCCCAACGUCAGCUCUCCUCCAACCCGUGUGGAAGGUGACAGAGAGCAGCUCAGGGUUUAGUGAAAACACCCUGCCAGGAUGGAACUGGCUUUCGCUGUUAUUAACAGGCUCUGGAGAAGGAAAACCAGGGCUAAAUGCCUGUCGCCUCUUUAUCUGCAUCUAUAUAGCUCGAAGAUCCCUCUCUUUCACCCUGCCUAGCCCUCUCUCGCUCUCGUUUGCACCCGGGUGCAAUCAAUAUUCCGCUCGAUCACAGAUUCCAGACCUGCCAGGCUGGGAUGGCGGUUCCUGUGCUGACUCAUCCACUCAGCCUGUCACCAUCACGUGCUCCCUCUGCCAGAAAGGCCACGUGGUGGGAUCUCCAGCUCUGGCUCAUCGUUGCUCCAAUCAGUUUCCUUUUCCCUUUUCCCCAGAAUGUUAUUUGAGUCCUCUUCUGUCCCCUGUCGCCCUGGGAGUCCCAGAGAGGCAUUAACAUAGGCUUGGGUUUUGCAGGACACUGAUGGAAGGUGGGCACGGAAUAGCAUUGUUCCCUGCCAGCAUCAAGAAGCAGCCACUAAACAGAGGGAAGCACAAACGCUGGUGACCAAGGGCGAGGUCUGGAGCUAAUAACACACUGUAAAUAGCAGCCCGCCCCCCAGGAUGAUAUUUUCUGUUCCCAGCUGUCGAGUGAUGGAGGUUUCCAGCUGGCUGGACCUCAGAGAUCGCUGCGUUCAACAUCCUGUCUCCACAGAGGAGACACAAGGACACUGAGAUAGGCUGUGGCUUCCCCGAGGUCACACGGCUGGGCAGGGUCCUGGGUCCGGUCCAGGGAUAUUUCCUCGCCUCCUUUAAGUGUAAUCUCUUUGUGUGCUACUGUCCAAAUUGUUUAUUCUGCAAGUGUUUUACUCUGCAAAGGCUGCUUUGGACCCGUGGACCGACAGGGAUGCUGGCAGAGAGACCGGCAGGGGGAAGCGUGCUUCUACACAGUGGUGAUGGGAGGUCACCCUGCAGCCAGGGGUACUCGGGGUAAGGGCAGAGUGGGCGCGGCUUCCUCAUGGAGGAUCCCCUGGGGAUUACAGGAGCUGAGGCUCUCAUCUGCCUCUCUAGGAGAGUUCAGUGGCAGAGGACAGACAGAGGCUUCACACUGGAGAUUUUGAAGAAGGUGAUGGGCAAUUUGGCAUUCUGCACCUUUGGGUCACAAAGCAGUGUGAUCUCUUCUGAAAAGUUCUUUUUCCAACCUUGUGGAAAUCUCUGCAGGAAAAUGGUGCUUGGCUCCCGUUAAUUCCACUCCCCUGGUUUGCAACAAAGGAGACGCUGGCUCACAAACUAAGGAGGGAAAGGGGGACCAUCAGGGCUUACCAAGCCGAACUGCCACUCCAGGCAAGGAAACAAGCUCAGCCAACUUUCAAAUGCUACCAUUGGAAAUAUUACAAUAACUCUGAAGUUUCUGCCAAGACAUACUGCCACCUUCGGUGAUGACGGUCAUUCCGUCACCAAGCCCAGGACCUUGGCGCUUCCUAUGCCUCCCUCUCUUCCACCAGGGUCGAGUUUGCUAGAUGCUGAGACCCUGCCCUAGCUUCCUUCCACCUCACCAUGGCCUCCAACCACUCCCCCGGUCCAGGCUUUGCUCCCCACAGCACAGAGUCC
rnacentral:lncRNA from 1 species